GAUGAACGCUGGCGGCGUGCCUAACACAUGCAAGUCGAGCGAUUCUCUUCGGAGAAGAGCGGCGGACGGGUGAGUAACGCGUGGGUAACCUGCCCUGUACACACGGAUAACAUACCGAAAGGUAUGCUAAUACGAGAUAAUAUACUUUUAUCACAUGGUAGAGGUAUCAAAGCUUUUGCGGUACAGGAUGGACCCGCGUCUGACUAGCUAGUUGGUAAGGUAACGGCUUACCAAGGCGACGAUCAGUAGCCGACCUGAGAGGGUGAUCAGCCACAUUGGAACUGAGACACGGUCCAAACUCCUACGGGAGGCAGCAGUGGGGAAUAUUGCACAAUGGGCGAAAGCCUGAUGCAGCAACGCCGCGUGAGUGAUGAAGGCCUUCGGGUCGUAAAGCUCUGUCCUCAAGGAAGAUAAUGACGGUACUUGAGGAGGAAGCCCCGGCUAACUACGUGCCAGCAGCCGCGGUAA
rnacentral:rRNA from 1 species